rnacentral:tRNA from 1 species
AGGUGUUUAGCUGUUGAGAGCACUGGAUUGUGGUUCCAGGGGUCGCCGGUUCAAAUCCGGUUUCUCA